UUCACAAUGGGCAGCGUCAGGGUGACCCUCUGAGGUGGCGGUUUAGGGGAGUCGCUAAUAGCAGCUACAGUCUUCUGCUUUUCCUGGAACAGAAACACAAAUCACAAGAGCCAUGAGAAGACACACAAAUGUCUUAGCAUUUAGGUGUCACCUGUAAUAAUGGGUGUUCUGGGAAGAGAGAGCAUAUAUGUCCGUCAGGUCCCAUGCCAAGCAACAACAUAUCAAAGACCGGCAUCUCCUGCGUGUGGAAGGCCUACGGAGACAUGAGGAGAUGUGAGAAGCAGAUUGACAAUGUUAAAGCAAUGAACAUGUGGAAAUAUGUACUUAGUUUACCUGACUCAGCUUGCUGGCAUAAUCCUCUGCACACUGCUGCACCGGUAAGGAUGGAUUGAUUGCCAAAAUCCUGUCGUCCGGAAGGUUUAAUUUUGAAAACAACUGGUUCUAAAAUGUAGAUGGAAAAAGUCACGAAUGGAUGAGUGUUCACAAUUUACCUCCACCAGGCUUGAUUAUUUUUAUUCAAUACAAAAGAUACUGAUAUCAUUAAGAUGUUUGUUCAUUAUUCUUAUUAACAAUUCAAGUCAUUUUUUGCUAUUUAUCAUCAAUGAAGGCACAUCAUUGUCUUCACUUUAUCCUGAAGGUAUACAGACUUUUACUUCUGCAAGCAAAAGAUUCUUUCACCAUUAUAUGUAAAUAUUACAAAAAAAUUUUAUCUGCUUUUCCUUGGUUAAUAUGUUUUGUGUGCGAGUUCUUCUGUGUUGUAACAGGAAGAUUAUCUUGUGUUGUAACUCACUCAACUUGUACAAAAUGCUUUUGAACAGUUUUUUGAGUAUUGUUUAUUGUUUAUCAAUCUAUCUUUUUACCAUUUAGAUAAAAAGUCAGGUAAAAUGUACCUACAUGAUAAAUGUUAAUAUAUUCCUGAUUUUAA